rnacentral:rRNA from 1 species
GACGAACCGUGCGAACGUUGUUCGGAAUCACUGGGCUUAAAGGGCGCGUAGGCGGCUUGUCAAGUCAGGGGUGAAAUCCGGCAGCUUAACUGUCGAAGUGCCUUUGAUACUGAUGAGCUAGAGGGAGAUAGGGGUAUGCGGAACUUCCGGUGGAGCGGUGAAAUGCGUUGAUAUCGGAAGGAACGCCGGUGGCGAAAGCGGCGUACUGGAUCUCUUCUGACGCUGAGGCGCGAAAGCUAGGGGAGCAAACGGG